rnacentral:ncRNA from 1 species
AGCGAAAUUCCUUGUCGGGUAAGUUCCGACCUGCACGAAUGGCGUAACGACUUCUCCGCUGUCUCGACCGUGAACUCGGCGAAAUUGCAGUACGAGUAAAGAUGCUCGUUUCGCGCAGAAGGACGGAAAGACCCCGGGACCUUUACUAUAGCUUGGUAUUGGUGUUCGCUUGUGCUUGUGUAGGAUAGGUGGGAGACUGUGAAGCUGCGGCGCCAGCCGUGGUGGAGUCGUCGUUGAAAUACCAUUCUGGUUCAAGCGGUCACCUCAACCUUGGCCCGUGAUCCGGGUUGGGGACAGUGCCUGGUGGGUAGUUUAACUGGGGCGGUUGCCUCCUAAAAUGUAACGGAGGCGCUCAAAGGUUCCCUCAGCCUGGUUGGUAAUCAGGUGGCGAGUGCAAGUGUACAAGGGAGCUUGACUGUGAGACCGACGGGUCGAGCAGGUGCGAAAGCAGGAACUAGUGAUCCGGCCAUGGCACGUGGGUGCGUGGUCGCUCAACGGAUAAAAGGUACCCCGGGGAUAACAGGCUGAUCUUGCCCAAGAGUCCAUAUCGACGGCAUGGUUUGGCACCUCGAUGUCGGCUCGUCGCAUCCUGGGGCUGGAGUUGGUCCCAAGGGUUGGGCUGUUCGCCCAUUAAAGCGGUACGCGAGCUGGGUUCAGAACGUCGUGAGACAGUUCGGUCCCUAUCCUCUGUGCGCGUAGGAAACUUGAAAAGGGCCGUCCCUAGUACGAGAGGACCGGGAUGGACGAACCUCUGGUGUGCCAGUUGUACCGCCAGGUGCAUGGCUGGUUGGCUACGUUCGGGAAAGAUAACCGCUGAAAGCAUCUAAGCGGGAAACUUGCUUUGAGAUGAGGUUUCCACACCCCCCUGGGGUGGAAGGCCCCCGGCAGACUACCGGGUUGAUAGGCCAGAGGUGGAAGCACCGCGAGGUGCUCGUGAGCCGACUGGUACUAAUGGGCCGACACUAAACACAAA